CUUAGAUCUUAACCAUGUCUCAGAGAGAAUAGGGUUCUAUACUUAGAUCUUAACCAUGUCUCUCGGAGAGAAUAGGGUUCUAUACUUAGAUCUUAACCAUGUCUCAGAGAGAAUAGGGUUCUACUUAGAUCUUAACCAUGCCUCUCAGAGAAAAUAGGGUUCUAUACUUAGAUCUUAACCAUGUCUCAGAGAGAAUAGGGUUCUACUUAGAUCUUAACCAUGUCUCUCAGAGAGAAUAGGGUUCUAUACUUAGAUCUUAACCAUGUCUCUUGGAGAGAAUAGGGUUCUACUUUGAUCUUAAACCAUGUCUCUCAGAGAGAAUAGGCAACAUGAGAUCUUCUCUGAGUGACUGCAUUAGAUGAUCAUUUCUGAUAUCAUCUAUUUUUUUAUACAGUACCAGUCAAAAGUUUGGACACACCUACUCAUUCAAGGGUUUUUAUUUAUUUAUUACUUUUUUCUACAUUGUAGAAUAAUAGUGAAGACAUAAACUAUGAAAUAACACUUAUGGAAUCAUGUAGUAACCAAAAAAGUGUUAAACAAAUCAAAAUAUAUUUUAGAUUCUUCAAAGUAGCCACCCUUUGGCUUGAUGACAGCUUUGCACACUCCUGGGAUUCUCUCAACCAGCUUCACCUGGAAUGCUUUUCCAACAGUUUUAAAGGAGUUCCCACAUCUUGUCUGCUUUUCCUUCACUCUGCGGUCCAACUCAUCCCAAACAAGCUCAAUUGGGUUGAGGUCUGGUGAUUGUGUAGGCCAGGUCAUCUGAUGCAGCACUCCAUCACUCUCCUUCUUGGUCAAAUAGCCCUUACACAGCUUGUGGAUGUGUUGGGUCAUUGUCCUGUUGAAAAACAAAUGAUUGUCCCACUAAGCGCAAACCAGAUGGGAUGGCGUAUCGCUGCAGAAUGCUGUGGUAGCCAUGCUGGUAAAGUGUGCCUUGAAUUCUGAAUAAAUCACUGACAGUGUCACCAGCAAAGCACCCCCACACCAUCACACCACCUCCUCCAUGCUCCACGGUGGGAACCACACAUGCGGAGAUCAGCCAUUCACCGACUCUGCGUCUCACAAAGACACGGCGGUUGAACCAAAAAUCUCAAAUUUGACCAAAGGACAGAUUUCCACCGGUCUAAUGUCCAUUGCUCAUGUUUUUUGGCCCAAGCUAGUCUCUUCUUAUUAUUGGUGUCCUUUAGUAGUGUUUUCUAUGCAGCAAUUCGACCAUGAAGGCCUGAUUCAUGCAGUCUCCUCUGAACAGUUGAUGUUGAGAUGUGUCUGUUACUUGAACUCUGUGAAGCAUUUAUUUGGGCUGUAAUCUGAGGCUGGUAACUCUAAUGAACUUUUCUUCUGCAGCAGAGGUAAUUCUGGGUCUUCCUUUCCUAUGGGUGGUCCUCAUGAGUACCAGUUUCAUCAUAGCACUUGAUGGUAUUUCUGACUGCACUUGAAGAAACUUUCAAAGUUCUGGAAAUGUUCAGUUUUGAAGUAAUGAUGGACUGUCGCUUCUCUUUGCUUAUUUGAGCUGUUCUUGCCAUAAUAUGGACUUGGUCUUUUACCAAAUAGGGCCAUCUUCUGUAUACAAACCCUACCUUGUCAUAACACAACUGAUUGGCUCAAACGCAUUAAGAAAGAAAGAAAUUCCACAAAUUAACUUUUAACCUCUCUAGGGAAGGUGGGACGAAAUCGUCCCACCUACGUAACAGCCAGUGGAAUCCUGUGGCGCGUUAUUCAAAUACCUUAGAAAUGCUAUUACUUCAAUUUCUCAAACAUAUGACUAUUUUACACCAUUUUAAAGACAAGACUCUCGUUAAUCUAACCCCACUGUCCGAUUUCAAAAAGGCUUUACAACGAAAGCAAAACAUUAGAUUAUGUCAGCAGAGUACCCAGCCAGAAAUAAUCAGACACCCAUUUUUCAAGCUAGCAUAUAAUGUCACAUAAACCCAAAACACAGCUAAACGCAGCACUAACCUUUGAUGAUCUUCAUCAGAUGACAACCCUAGGACAUUAUGUUAUACAAUACAUGCAUGUUUUGUUCAAUCAAGUUCAUAUUUAUAUCAAAAACCAGCUUUUUACAUUAGCAUGUGACGUUCAGAACUAGCAUACCCCCCGCAAACUUCCGGUGAAUUUACUAAAUUACUCACAAUAAACGUUCACAAAAAACAUAAUUAUUUAAAGAAUUAUAGAUACAGAACUCCUCUAUGCACUCGCUAUGUCCGAUUUUAAAAAUAGCUUUUCGGUGAAAGCACAUUUUGCAAUAUUCUAAGUAGAUAGCCCGGCAUCACAGGGCUAGCUAUUUAGACACCCACCAAGUUUGGCACUCACCAAAGUCAGAUUUACUAUAAGAAAAAUGUUAUUACCUUUGCUGUUCUUCGUCAGAAUGCACUCCCAGGACUUCUACUUCAAUAACAAAUGUUGGUUUGGUUCAAAAUAAUCCAUAGUUAUGUUCAAAUAUCCUCUGUUUUGUUCGUGCGUUCAAGACACUAUCCGAAUGGUAAAGAAGGGUGACGCGCACGACGCAUUUCAUGACAAAAAAAUUCUAAAUAUUCCAUUACCGUACUUCGAAGCAUGUCAACCGCUGUUUAAAAUCAAUUUUUAUGCCAUUUUUCUUGUAAAAAAGCGAUAAUAUUCCGACCGGGAAAGCGUGUUUAGGUUCAAAGAGAGAGAAAAUAAAAACAUGGGGUCGACUCGUGCACGCGCCUCCGUCCCAUUGUCCUCUGAUAGAGCACUUGCCAAAAGCGCUAAUGUUUUUCAGCCAGUGGCUAGAAUUACAUCAUUCAGCUUUUUCCCGCCUUCUGAGAGCCUAUGGGAGCCGUAGGAAGUGUCACGUUACAGCAAAGAUCCUCAGUCUUCAAUAAACAGAGUCAAGAAGCUCAAGGAAUGGUCAGAGGGCACUUCCUAUACAGAAUCUUCGCAGGUUUUUGCCUGCCAUAUGAGUUCUGUUAUACUCACAGACACCAUUCAAACAGUUUUAGAAACUUUAGGGUGUUUUCUAUCCAAAGCCAAUAAUUAUAUGCAUAUUCUAGUUUCUGGGCAGUAGUAAUAACCAGAUUAAAUCGGGUACGUUUUUUAUCCGGCCGUGUAAAUACUGCCACCUACCCCCAACAGGUUAACAAGGCACACCUGUUAAUUGAAAUGCAGUUCAGGUGACUACCUCAUGAAGCUGGUUGAGAGAAUGCCAAGCUGUCAUCAAGGCAAAGGGUGGCUACUUUGAAGAAUCUCAAAUAUAAAAUAUAUUUUGAUUUGUUUAACAUUCUUUUGGUUACUACAUGAUUCCAUAUGUGUUAUUUCAUAGUUAUGAUGUCUUCACUAUUAUUCUACAAUGUAGAAAAUUGUAAAAAUAAAGAAAAACCCUUGAAUGAGUAAGUGUGUCCAAACUUUUGACUGGUUCUGUAUAUAAAAUAGACAUUAUCUGUCACAAUAGGGGGUAAAUAGUCUACUCUUAAAUUGACUUGAAUGUACUUUUGUAUUCAACAAUGGUCUAAAAUAUCUGUCUUUCACAUGCCAAUGUGAUCCAAACCUGU
rnacentral:lncRNA from 1 species